rnacentral:rRNA from 1 species
GAUGAACGCUGGCGGCGUGCCUAAUACAUGCAAGUCGAGCGAACGGACGAGAAGCUUGCUUCUCUGAUGUUAGCGGCGGACGGGUGAUUAACACGUGGAUAACCUACCUAUAAGACUGGGAUAACUUCGGGAAACCUGAUCUAAUACCGGAUAAUAUUUUGAACCGCAUGGUUCAACAGUGAAAGACGUUCUUGCUGUCACUUAUAGAUGGAUCCGCGCUGCAUUAGCUAGUUGGUAAGGUAACGGCUUACCAAGGCAACGAUGCAUAGCUGACCUGAGAGGGUGAUCGGCCACACUGGAACUGAGACACGGUCCAGACUCCUACGGGAGGCAGCAGUAGGGAAUCUUCCGCAAUGGGCGAAAGCCUGACGGAGCAAUGCCGCGUGAGUGAUGAAGGUCUUCGGAUCGUAAAACUCUGUUAUUAGGGAAGAACAUAUGUGUAAGUAACUGUGCACAUCUUGACGGUACCUAAUCAGAAAGCCACGGCUAACUACGUG